rnacentral:rRNA from 1 species
CAGCCGCCACGGUAACACGAAGGUCCCGAGCGUUGUUCGGAAUCACUGGGCGUAAAGGGAGCGUAGGCGGCGUGGUAAGUCAGAUGUGAAAUCCCGGGGCUCAACCCCGGAACUGCAUCCGAUACUGCCAUGCUAGAGGAUUGGAGAGGUAGCUGGAAUUCUUGGUGUAGCAGUGAAAUGCGUGGAGAUCAAGAGGAACACUCGUGGCGAAAGCGAGCUACUGGACAAUAACUGACGCUGAGGCUCGAAGGCCAGGGUAGCGAAAGGGAUUAGAUACCCGCGUAGUCCCUGUCUCUUAUAC